rnacentral:misc_RNA from 1 species
GGGGUCUGGAAAGUACAGUAGUGGACUAUCCAAUUGGGCUACUGAUUUUGCUUCUUUCAAAACUAUCCAAUCAGGUUCAACCGUUGUCCCAUUUUGAAAAUGAUUAAAAAAUAGAAAUAGCACAAUUCCCAAGUCAAAUAAAGUCUCUCUUUUUUUUUUUUUUACUGGUUUCAAUAUUUUCAUUUUCUCCCCCAUUCGCCCACAGAAAAGCCCAGGAUCUGUCCCUCUAGCUCCGAUUCCGUCCUUCUGGUGAGUUCAAAUGGCAGGAGGUC